rnacentral:rRNA from 1 species
CAAAGGGGGAAACCCUGAACCCACCAACGCCGCGUGAAGGGAUGACGGUUUUUCGGAAUGUAAACCCUCUGUCCUUCUGUGAAGAUAGUGACGGUAGCAGAGAAGGAAGCUCCGCCUAAUUACGUGCCAGCAGCCGCGGGUAAUACGUAGGGAGCAAGCGUUGUCCGGAUUUACUGGGUGUAAAGGGUGCGUAGGCGGAUUGGCAAGUCAGAAGUGAAAUCCAUGGGCUUAACCCAUGAACUGCUUUUGAAACUGUUAGUCUUGAGUGAAGUAGAGGUAGGCGGAAUUCCCGGUGUAGCGGUGAAAUGUGUAGAUAUCGAGAGGAACACUCGUGGCGAAGGCGGGUUCCUGGACAUUAACUGACGUUGAGGCACGAAGGCCAGGGGAGCGAAAGGGAUUAGAUACCCCUGUAGUCCUGGCAGUAAACGGUGCACGCUUGGUGUGCGGGGAAUCGACCCCCUGCGUGCCGGAGCUAACGCGUUAAGCGUUCCGCCUGGGGAGUACGGUCGCAAGAUUAAAACUCAAAGAAACUUGACGGGGACCCGCACAAGCGGUGGAGUAUGUGGCUUAAUUCGAUGCAACGCGAAGAACCUUACCCGGGCUUGACAUGCUAAUGAACAACAUGUGAAAGCAUGCGACUCUUAGGAGGCGUCACACAGGUGUAGCAUGGCCGUCGUCAGCUCGUGUCGUGAGAUGUUGGGUUAAGUCCAGCAACGAGCGCAACCCCUGUUGCCAGUUACCAGCACGUGAAGGUGGGGACUCUGGCGAGACUGCCCAGAUCAAAUGGGAGGAAGGUGGGGACGACGUCAGGUCAGUAUGGCCCUCAUGCCCAGGCCUGCACACGUACUACAAUGCCCAGUACAGAGGGGGCAGAAGCCGCGAGGCGGAGGAAAUCCUAAAAACUGGGCCCAGUUCGGACUGUAGGCUGCAACCCGCCUACAAGAAGCCGGAAUCGCUAGUAAUGGCGCAUCAGCUACGGCGCCGUGAAUAAGUUCCCGGCUCUUGCACACACCGCCCGUCA